AGAGAUAGAGUCUUCCCCUUCGGGGGACAAAGUGACAGGUGGUGCAUGGUUGUCGUCAGCUCGUGUCGUGAGAUGUUGGGUUAAGUCCCGCAACGAGCGCAACCCUUAAGCUUAGUUGCCAGCAUUAAGUUGGGCACUCUAAGUUGACUGCCGGUGACAAACCGGAGGAAGGUGGGGAUGACGUCAAAUCAUCAUGCCCCUUAUGAUUUGGGCUACACAUGUGCUACAAUGGACAAUACAAAGGGCAGCUAAACCGCGAGGUCAUGCAAAUCCCAUAAAGUUGUUCUCAGUUCGGAUUGUAGUCUGCAACUCGACUACAUGAAGCUGGAAUCGCUAGUAAUCGUAGAUCAGCAUGCUACGGUGAAUACGUUCCCGGGUCUUGUACACACCGCCCGUCACACCACGAGAGUCUGUAACACCCGAAGCCGGUGGAGUAACCAUUUAUGGAGCUAGCCGUCGAAGGUGGGACAAAUGAUUGGGGUGAAGUCGUAACAAGGUAGCCGUAUCGGAAG
rnacentral:rRNA from 1 species